AUAAGUUGUCAUGCGUCAUAGGUUCACCCUCCCUGAACAUCUCCAUGGAACACCUCCAUGGAGCUUUCCACGGGAGCAGUUGCUGACAGUUACUGCUGCCAACUGACUUCUUAUGUGCCCUGAGAUCUCUGUGGCAAGGCCCAGGACUCUCUCUCUCCUGGCUCAGAUCUGUUCAAAAUUUUAUCAUUAAUGUGAAUAAAUAAAUAGAAGGCUUGCUGGGCCAAUUUACAGGUGAUACAAAGAUGGAGACUGCAAGGAAUAUGAUAAUGAGGGAGUCAGGUACCAAGGAGAUGGUCAAACUGAAGAGCAUCCAGAAUUUUUGAUAAGAAUAAGAGAUAAUUCAAAGCAUGUGAAAAUUAUAUAGGGUGGUUGAAGGAGCUGGAAUUGUUUAUCCUGGGGGAAUAUGAUAACUGUCAAAAACAAUGAAGGAUCUGAGAUUUUACCCUACUUGCCGGAUAACUAGUUUGCCACAGUUUCAUGGAUGCUGGCAGAAGACACAAGACCUCUGGGUCAGAGACAAAGGACAGUUUAUCAUUUAUAGUAAUCACAACACUGAGUAUCAGCAUUUUCCUGUGCCAAUUCCUUAAGCUCCAGUUCCCACAGGGCAACACAAAAAAAGCCAGAUGGUGCUUGCGCACACAAUGGGCUGCAUUACAGGAGGGGAACUCUGAGCUUAGGAAAACCCAGUCUUUCAUAAUGGGCUGCAAGCAAACCUGCCCAGCCAAUUUUAGGAAAAGGGAGAUACUAUCUCUAAACAAAUCUCUUUGAAAAGAACAAAACGUUGUCAGUGCCUCUGCCGGAAAAACAUGCAGAAACAGCAAUGAUCCAUGGAGUGUGACUUUCAACAAUAACUAUAUUUUGAGAGUUGGCAUGUUAACGAGUAUUAGAAAUCUCUGUCACUCCAGAAGACAAAACAAGACUCAACUGGCAAAAAUUACAGAAAGACAAAUUUGGGAUUGAUAAAGAGAUAUUUUAUAAACAACAGAACAAGCUAAAAAUGGGAUGGUCACUUUAAGACCUUAGACAUAUUAAGGAAGAAACUAGGCAGCCACUUGUUGUUGACUAUUGAGGAAAAUAUUAAUAUACCAGAGAAUCACUGAAUGUAGUGGUUAUAUCAAACUUCUUCCAGCACUCCAGUUAUCAGAAAGUAGAGGGAGAAAAAGAAGUGAAGUAACUAGGAAAAAAGGCAGAACAGAAAAGGAUAAAGUAUACUUUCAAACUUGAAAUACUUAAUUGUAUAUUUUCUGAAGUCAUAUCUGUGUCCCAAGAGGAUCCAGAUAACUCUUUGAUAAGCCAUAGACAGAGCAGUAUCCAGAGCCUUUAUAAACUUAUGUUGUAAUAUCCCUUGUCAAGCUUCUUCAGCUAAGAAAAACAGCUCAAUAAUCUACUUGGAAAUUUUUAAAAAAGAAAAACAAAAAAAGAAACUAACUUUGAUUCUUUUUCCUAGAUUGAUUAUCCUGUGUUUUGAGAAACAGAAUUUUUGUUAAGGCAUUCUCUACAAUCUAACUGGAAAUACUUCUCGUUGCCUGGACACUUAAACUGAAGCUUCAGAAUAUUGCAAAAGAAAAUACAACAUCCAUAGGACUUUUUUCAGAAACAAAAUAUGUCUUCCCUCAUCCCUGCCAAAAGAGACUAUUUAAGAUUAUUAUAACUUUCAUGUCAAUUAACAAAUGGAUAUUUUUAUUUAUGGUUUUAUCAACUGGCUCUUCUGUUUGAACCCAUUUGCACACCACAUAUGAAAGUGGCACAUUAAUGUGCUAGCAGGAAUUUGUGAGGACUGUUCCCGCCUGAAGGAGGGGGAAAUGUGGACUGAUUGAAACCCCCGGAAGAGUCUGCUUGAUUUUAAACCUGCAAUCAGCUAAUCAAUAAUUUACCAAUAUAGAAAGCUCCAACAGCAUGUAUAAGUUGAAGGACGCAUCAGCUAUUAUAAGGUGGAGAAAAAGAAAUAAAUGUAGUCAUUUUGCUACCACAAUACAAAAAUAUCUCAGGACAUGUAAAUUUUUUAAAUGACUGUCUUGCAGUAAAAUGUCCCUUUUUGGUAAAAAUGAUUCUUAGAAAAUGUGCAAGGUUGCUUUUCACUGAAUAAUGACAUCUGUCUUUUAGAUGACCAGGGAAAUCUGUGUAAGUCUAUUAUUUCAAAGGAUUUUGACACUACCAUCAGAAAUCUUCAUAAUAACACAUGGCAGCUAUUUUAAGUAUAAAGAAGGACCACAGUUACUCACGGCCGUUUUUUAAUCCUGACAGACGUUCCCCAUCACACAGUACAUCUGUGUCUUCCCUUUGUCAGGUCCAUUUGUGGGUGCUCAGGAAAUAAAGCCUAAUUUUAAUACUGAAAAAUUAAAGAAAACCUUAAUUAAAAGAUACCCUUUUCAAAAGUCAUAUAAUACAUUCCUUUGCUCGAGUCAAGCUCCCUUGUGAUAUUGACAAAAACAGAAGACAACCGUAAUGACUUAUGAAGUCCAGUGAGCACAGUCGUUACAGCCACGGUCAUUCACACUCUCAGCCGCUCGCUUUAGUUUGAGUAAUUUUCAAAGUGGCUUUCCUCUUCCCUUGCCCAUACUUCCUACACACUGCAUCUUGAUUCAUCUUUCUAAGCCCAGACCUCACCACUUCUUCCCUCAGAAAACCUUUGCACCCCAGUGUCCACGGCCCAUUAACCCCCUUGUGGGCCUGAUGCCCAGAUGUUUUCUGGACCACAAAUUAGGACCUACGCUGACAAUGGAAUUUUUAAGAUCGGAGUUUUAUUUUUAUAAGUUUAGGAAGGAGCCAACACCAAAUCACAUUUAGUUCUCAGUAAAAUGGCCGAUGUGUCGAUCAGAAUAAACCUCCAUGUAACUGAGUGUUGGACACCUGUGGAGAAUGUCCUCACUUUGUCUAUUUUUCAGCUUGAUCCAAUACCUGCUGUGCCCUGAAUGCCUCCAGGUUUCCUACCUCGUAAUACUUGCCUCCUCUCCUUCUUUCCAUCUGUGGAGAGAAAGAGAGGAGGCAAGCAUAAUGAGGCAAGCAUCUUUCCUCUCCUUCUUUCCAUCUCUCCCUCCCUUAGGGUUCACACCAAAUACCCCCUUCUCAGUGGGGCCUUCUUUGUCUGCCUUCACUAAGGAUGGGGUGUUUUCCACUCCAUCUCCAGAGACAUCACCAGUACUCUGUGGCAGCACUGAUUACAGUGCAAGUCUUGACAGUGUUUAUCUCCACCUUAUUAUACAAUAAGCUCCUUGAGGAAUUAUUUGCUGUUCUGGGAUCACUGCCUUUUUAAAUAUAGGUUAAAUCAAAUCUUCAACCCCUUAUAGUCCAGGGAACUGAAUUCAAAAUCCAAGGCGCCAACUAACUGAUGCAGAGAGGAAAAACAAAAGCACAAGUCAUCCAGCCAGACUGAGGUGCUAGACCAUCACAUUUGAAUGACAGAAACAGAAUUACUUAAGUGCAUUGGACACCUUGUUCUGUGGAGCCACACACAAGGACUUGAUUCUACAUGUCAUCAACUCAAGAGCCCACCCUUUUGCAGUAGGGUGCAAUGAUCAUAUUAAUAGUUACAGUACCUGUGUAGUCCUGCCUGGCACAUAGUGGGGGUUUGAUAAAUAGGUGGGGAUGAAUGAGUGUUUUCUCUUUACACCAUUUUUGUGCAAAAUGAUAAAUAUUUUUCAUUUCUAUUAUGUGAUCAAGCACACUAAGGUAUGAAAAUUAUAAAUAAACUGCUAAGAAUUAUAAAAAUCAGUUACCAAACAGGUAGCGCCCCCCACACCCACAAUCCCACCGCCAAAGGAUGUUAGAUCCCAAGUUUUUCACUGGCAUGUUGGAAUGAACUGAAGGUGUUGUCCCUCAGGUGUUAAUGGCCUGUAGGGCACAGUGAAGCAAUGCUGUCUGUAUUUUAAGUACUCCUAAACCACGUAAUUGAGGUACCUAAUUUUUAAAACUUCUGGGUCAGAAACCUAGUUAUGUGACUUGACAUGGUUUCAAAAGUAGGUGUCAAAACAGCCCAUCCAUUGAGCAAGGACACCCAUGGGCUUGUCCAGUUUCCAUUCACAUGUGAUGGACAGGACACUUUAUCCUACAAAGAUAUACUAUGAACCUUAUUUAUAUUUAUCUGGCAGACUAGCGAGACCAAUCUGUAGACUUUAACAGGAAUGGAAUUGCCUAGCUAGGCAGGACUGAAUUUGCAGUGACUGGCAGAGACAAACUUACUCAAAAUGCUGCAUUAUUCUGCAACAGUUCUGAAGUUAACUGUGGAAAUGUUAACAUGGCUUUGAAUGAUUCAAGUAAUACACAUCCUGAUACUGAGCCUAAAUAGAAUCCCUCUCUACUUUUAGCACUAAAGGAAGCCUGGGCUGCAUUCCUGUUUGUAUAACUGUAGUCUCUCAAAGUACAUUUCAUUCUCCAACCCACUCACCCACCCUAGAUGUGUAAAUCUCCCAAAUGAUCCUGUUAUCCAUCUCCACCACAAUUGUGAGCCAUCUGCAUAAGCCACCUCAUUAUCUAAGCAACGGAAUCACCACAUAAGCAAAUAUUAUUCCCCUACAAAUCUUUUAGAAAUUCUGUGUGUUAUUCUAGUGAACAGUAAAUACAGGAUAUACACACAAAGAUAUAAAAUAUUUCAUAUAAAUUCAAAUAAUUCAUGGCCCUCUUGUUUACCAGCAAAGAACUUCAGGUAAAGAUUUCCUGGCUCUUUCUAGGUGUUUCAUAGAUUUUAAAUCCUCCCACUCCCCUUGUUUUUGGCUCAUAUAAACACACGACAAUGUCUAUACGUUUUUUUUUUUUUCCAAGAACAGUCCUCCUGUUCCAAUUCAAUAGCCCUGAUGCUUCAAAAUUCACAGGACAACUAAGGGUAAAUAUUAUUUUAUACUCUCAAAACAUAGACUCAAGUCUACUAGGGGAAAGCCUACGAACAAUGAUUUUAUAAACAUGAGGAUGUCUUCAGCUACAAAUGUCAACAGGCAGUUUCAGAACUGUUGCCAGCCCCCACUGCUGCACUGGAAGUCUGUUCUCUGCUUGUUCCUGCAAAGUCAGCCUGCAGACACGUCUGCUUGGGCUGGGAGUGGACCCUGUUAUUCUCAACUCGCUGCUGCUUGUAAGCUCUGGGUCAACAGGAGACCUUUCUCUUCAGCCUCAGCCCCAAUCUCAGCUUUACUUCUUCUCCAUCUUCAUCUUCCUCCUAAUAUCUGCUUGAGGAAUUUUUAAGAGACUGCAGGGCAAGGCUGCUGCCUAGCUGAGAACAUCAGAAAAUACCAUGAGGGUGCUCAAUCAGGAACCAGUGGUGUCAGAAGGCACCCUUAGCAAACUGGAACUUUUAACUUCAAAUCAUAAGCCCUACUGUUUCACUUGGCUUUGUCUUUCUUUGUGUGUUUCAUAGUGAAAACAGCUACUUGCUGAUACCUCAAAAGGCUAGUGCUGCACACAGCUUAUCAGCCAAGGACAGUCAAUGCUAUCAAUAAGAGUGGUUGAGUUGUGAUCCUUUGUAAACAAAUCAGAACAUCCUCGUUACAUUUUGGAAGGUUGGACGUUUUAGGUGACUGAAAAAAAAAUAUGAUAAUGGGCAAACAGCUUUCAGAAAUAAAUUACUGCAGCUUAGGAAAGAAAAAAAAGCCUGUUUUACUACUUCUUCAUCCAGUAUCAAUAACAUUAUAAACUUAACCAUGCUUUAAAAAUAAAGGCAUCAUUACAUUUUACCCCCUCUCUUCUCAACUUUAUCUGGCAACUGUUUAAUUAGACUUAUCUAAAUUCAGAACUAUGAUCCGAAAGGCAUGUAUGCGAUGAUUGCUCAUGCAUCAAUUGUAAAGUUAGAGAAAAGCAUUUAAUUAGCCCGUCAAAGAUACAGGUUGGGUCAAGUACCUGGCUCUGGCUGAA